rnacentral:tRNA from 1 species
GGAAGUGUGCCUGAAUUAAAGGACUACUUUGAUAGAGUAGAAUACAGGAGUUCAAACCUCCUCACCUCCU